CAUGAGGAACACCAUCAAGGAUGAUAAGAUUGCCUCGAAGCUGCCGGCGGAGGACAAGAAGAAGAUUGAGGAUGCUGUUGAGGGGGCAAUACAGUGGCUGGAGGGGAAUCAGCUCGCCGAGGUUGAUGAGUUGGAGGAUAAGAUGAAGGAGCUUGAGGGAAUUUGCAACCCCAUAAUUGCAAAGAUGUAUCAGGGAUCUGGUGGAAUGCCUGGCGGGAUGGGGAUGGAUGAGGAUGGCCCUACUAGCAGUGCUGGUGGUGCUGGACCGAAGAUCGAGGAGGUUGACUAAUCUGGGUGAUGGGUUUCCGGAGUUUCUGUCCUAUUAGCGUCAAGUCUGUCUGUUGGUUUUCUGCUUUGUUUUGCAGUCUUUGGUGUUCUUAUUCUGCUGCUUGGAAUGUUGGGUCUUGUUUGGCCUGAUAUAAUGUGUC
rnacentral:misc_RNA from 1 species